CAAUAGCGUAUAUUAAAGUUGUUGCGGUUAAAAAGCUCGUAGUUGGAUUUCUGCUGAGGACGACCGGUCCGCCCUCUGGGUGAGUAUCUGGCUCGGCCUUGGCAUCUUCUUGGGGAACGUAACUGCACUUGACUGUGUGGUGCGGUAUCCAGGACUUUUACUUUGAGGAAAUUAGAGUGUUUCAAGCAGGCGCACGCCUUGAAUACAUUAGCGUGGAAUAAUAAGAUAGGACCUUGGUUCUAUUUUGUUGGUUUCUAGAGCUGAGGUAAUGAUUAAUAGGGAUAGUUGGGGGCAUUCGUAUUUAACUGUCAGAGGUGAAAUUCUUGGAUUUGUUAAAGACGAACUAGUGCGAAAGCAUUUGCCAAGGACGUUUNCAUUG
rnacentral:rRNA from 1 species